UUUGGUGGUAUAACGACAGAGUUCAAU
rnacentral:sRNA from 1 species